rnacentral:lncRNA from 1 species
CAUGAUGAGUUCCUAUAUGAUGAGAGUUUAAAUCCUACCACAACCACAUAUACAUGCUUAUUAGACUAUGAACCGUACAUUUACUUUUUACUACUUAUGAGCAUUGAGUGUUGUCAAGUUAGGUAGACCCUUAGGAACUUGUCAUGCGGUUAAAAUCAAGAUUCACUUGCACGUUCACUCAUACAUGCUACUUCUACUCUGGAAGUACACAUCCACAUCCACUCAUUUCCAUCUCCAGAUUCACCUAAAAUGAUUCUACUCCUAUCCGGGAGAGAAUAGCCAAAAACAUUAUCCUAUCCCUGUUAUUGCCCGUGAAGUAAAUGCUCAAGAUAUUUUGAUUACUACCACUUGCUACAUUAUUCUAGGAGGGUGAGUGCUCUGAAAAAAAAUAAUACGAGGAAAUAAAAAGGGGCAAGUGCCCGGAACCUCGAAGAAAAGAAAAAGUGAGACGAGAGGUAAAAAUGGAUAAGUGUCCGACAGUAGAAUUAGAGGUACAAGAUACCCACCUGAGAGUAAAGAAAAAGAAAAUAUAGAGCAUCUCAUUCCCCUCAAAAAGCUUCAAGUGCAAGAAAGGUAUGUAUCUCCUCAAAAGAGCAAAAGUAGAAUUAGACUUUCACCAUUGUUAUCACCAUACACCAUUCACUCGCCACACAUGCACAUCUUGAUUUGACUUAUUGACUUGUUUCUCUGGAUCCAUGGUUUGACUAUGCAAUAAAUGUCUUGUAAGUAUGUAUUAUCUGUCUCCCACCUAUGAGCUCCAGAUAUCAAAACCUUAUUAGAGUAGGGUGAGAGAGAAGGCAAUAUCACUAUGCCUCAUACCAAAAAUACCACAUACUUUGAGAGAAGGCAUAUACCAUUACUGACUUGGAAAGGAUCCAGAA